CACGUAGGGUGCGAGCGUUGUCCGGAAUUAUUGGGCGUAAAGAGCUCGUAGGCGGUGUGUCGCGUCGGCCGUGAAAAACCUGCAGCUUAACUGUGGGCUUGCGGUCGAUACGGGCAUCACUGGAGUUCGGCAGGGGAGACUGGAAUUCCUGGUGUAGCGGUGAAAUGCGCAGAUAUCAGGAGGAACACCGGUGGCGAAGGCGGGUCUCUGGGCCGAUACUGACGCUGGAGGAGCGAAAAGCG
rnacentral:rRNA from 1 species